ACAUCACAGGAGACGGACCAUCAGUGACGGACUCGACAACAAAAAAAAUCAUCAUCAUCAUCUUCUUCAAUCGACAUCCGUCACAACCUCCCCCACUAUGUCCACAUCUCCGCCUUAAACCCUGUCAUCACCUGUACACCAAACAGACCCUUCAACCACCCCCGCCACCUUGAUAACCACCGAAAAAACCCCAGUAAAAAACAGCAGCCAAAAAGACCCUUAAACCACCCCCGCCACCUUGAUCGUUUAAGCAAGUUUUGGAGUACGUUGUAAGCGUACACGACUUUUUCGAGAGUCAUUCAAAUUUUUAAGGAGGGGGUAUUUUAAGCGUGGAGUAGGCGCAAAACAAAGCAGGCGCUAUCGACCACAUGCCUCCUCGAACAACCUUGUUAAUAAGCCCUAACCUAGGUCAGCCUUUAGGACACUCUUAUGUGUAUCAUGUCAUUUGGACCUAGCAAGACUCGAUCCUUGGUAUCAUGUUUCUUUGUAGGAGACUUGCCCCAAAAUGAUGUCAAACUGGGCCGGCGACCUAAAAAGACAUUAAUCAUCCCUAUGUGCUACUUGUUCAUCUUGAGGGUAAAUGGCUCAUUGGCGGAUUGAUUUGGUGAAGUGUGUUUGAAAAAACAAAUUGAUGAGAAAAUGAGAAGACUUGAAAGUAGUAAGUGAGUGUUGAAAAGAAAUUUCGUAGCUUUAGGAGUUUUAGCGUCUAUAUAAAAGAAAAAAAAUUCCCUUUCUUUCA